UACGAAGGGGGCUAGCGUUGCUCGGAAUUACUGGGCGUAAAGCGCACGUAGGCGGCUUUGUAAGUUAGAGGUGAAAGCCCAGGGCUUAACCCUGGAAUUGCCUUUAAGACUGCAUCGCUAGAAUCGUGGAGAGGUGAGUGGAAUUCCGAGUGUAGAGGUGAAAUUCGUAGAUAUUCGGAAAAACACCAGUGGCGAAGGCGACUCACUGGACACGUAUUGACGCUGAGGUGCGAAAGCGUGGGGAGCAAACAGG
rnacentral:rRNA from 1 species